CCUACGGGAGGCAGCAGUGAGGAAUAUUGGUCAAUGGGCGGAAGCCUGAACCAGCCAAGUAGCGUGCAGGAUGACGGCCCUACGGGUUGUAAACUGCUUUUAUACGGGAAUAACGCGCCUUACGUGUAGGGCUUUGCAUGUACCGUAUGAAUAAGGACCGGCUAAUUCCGUGCCAGCAGCCGCGGUAAUACGGAGGGUCCGGGCGUUAUCCGGAUUUAUUGGGUUUAAAGGGAGCGUAGGGAGUUUGUCAAGCGGGCUGUGAAAUUUUCGGGCUCAACCCGGGCUUUGCAGUGCGAACGGGCGUGCUUGAGUCCGCGGAAAGCAGGGGGAAUUGGGGGGGUAGGGGGGAAAGGCU
rnacentral:rRNA from 1 species